GACGAACGCUGGCGGCGCGCCUAACACAUGCAAGUCGAACGGAGUCACGAGGAGCUUGCUUUUCUUGACUUAGUGGCGAACGGGUGAGUAACGCGUGAGUAACCUGCCCUGGAGUGGGGGACAACAGUUGGAAACGACUGCUAAUACCGCAUAAGCCCACGGAUCUGCAUGGAUCUGCGGGAAAAGGAUUUAUUCGCUCUAGGAUGGACUCGCGUCCAAUUAGCUAGUUGGUGAGGUAACGGCCCACCAAGGCGACGAUUGGUAGCCGAACUGAGAGGUUGAACGGCCACAGUGGGACUGAGACACGGCCCAGACUCCUACGGGAGGCAGCAGUGGGGGAUAUUGCACAAUGGGGGAAACCCUGAUGCAGCGACGCCGCGUGGAGGAAGAAGGUUUUCGGAUUGUAAACUCCUGUCGUUAGGGACGAUAAUGACGGUACCUAACAAGAAAGCACCAGCUAACUACGUG
rnacentral:rRNA from 1 species